UCCCUCAGCGCCCUCAGCGCCCUCAGCUCCCUCAGCUCCCUCAGCUCCCUCAGCGCCCUCAGCGCCCCGGCUGCCGCUGCCGCAGCGCCCGGAGAGCUUCGGGAGCAGCAGCCCAGCUCUGGAGCACUGAGGCAGGAGCAAGCGAGGACAGAGGCAGCCACAGCACUGGGGACAUGCAGCAUUUGUGGUCCUGAUCGUGUAAAGCAGCAUCACAGGGAGGAGUGACACCAACAGGGGAGAGUUUUUAGAACCACUCACAAGUAGAAAGGCCCAAAUAAACUGACAAGUUAAAAAAUA